rnacentral:rRNA from 1 species
UACGGAGGGUGCAAACGUUGCUCGGAAUCAUUGGGCGUAAAGCGAGCGUAGGCGGUCUUAUAAGUCGGAUGUGAAAGCCCUCGGCUCAACCGAGGAAGUGCACCCGAAACUGCAAGACUUGAGUGUCGGAGAGGGUGACGGAAUUCCCGGUGUAGAGGUGAAAUUCGUAGAUAUCGGGAGGAACAUCAGUGGCGAAGGCGGUCACCUGGACGAUAACUGACGCUGAGGCUCGAGAGCGUGGGGAGCAAACAGG